rnacentral:rRNA from 1 species
AACGCACCUUGCGCUCCUUGGUAUUCCGAGGAGCAUGCCUGUUUGAGUGUCGUGAAAUUCUCAACUCUUUGAGCCUUUCUGAAGGUGAGAGGAUUUGGACUUGGAGGCUUUGCUGGCAUGAUGUGCCGGCUCCUCUUAACUGCAUUAGCUGGAUCCUUUCCGCCUGGAUUGGGAAUCCUCGUCAGUGUGAUAAUAUCUGCGCUGUCGGGCCCUUUCUGCAAGCGUGCGAGGUCCGCUUCUAAUCGUCCGCAAGGACACUUUGAAAAUCUGACCUCAAAUCAGGUAGGACUACCCGCUGAACUUAA